CUGGAACAGAAGGAAGGCUUCAUGGAGGAGGUGGCACUUGAGGAGAAGAAGAGGAUAACCAACAGCCAACCUGACUGCUCACUUACUAUGUGCCGGAUGUUUCACACAGGUGAUCUCAUGUCGUCCUCACACCAACUCUGUGAGGUCGGCGCCAAUAUCAUGCCCAAGAUCACACUGCUAGUAAGUUCUGGGACUAGAACUCUGGCCUGUGUGUCUUCAGAACGUUCGUGUCCCUAACCAAUCUGUUGUAGUACCUGGAGGAUGUAGACAACUGGAAGUGAAGUUGAAGGGGAUGCCCUGCGCAAAGAUGGGGGAGGGCGAGGGGGAGGAUCAGGGAGGGAUAAGGAGAAGGAAGAUGGAAUCGUGUAGCAUGGCUGCAGCACAUGCUGAGGGGACUGGGAGAUGGGCUGGACCGAAGGAGGCUGCUGGUCAUUUGGCAGGAUGCGGGGGAUGGAAGGUUUCAGAUAGGGAAGUGACAUGAUCAGAGCUAAGCUUCAGAGACUGCUCUGGCAGCAGAGCAGGAGGUGGAUUGAAAGAAGAAAGCCUUAAGACAGGGAGGCCAAGUAGAAAACCCAUGCAAUAGUCCAAGCAAACAGGGACCAAGUAGGAUACUGGCAGCAAGCACAGAAAACCAGAGGCAGAUUUCAGACAUGCUGCAGGGAUAAAAUGAAGUGGACCUGGCUACUGAAUGGGCGUGGAAGGGGAGUAAUCCUGGGGCAUGGGAAGGGGAGUCAUUAAAUGAAACUAAACUGUCAGGGUUUGAGCUUCGGCACCCAGAAGGCUAGUGGUGGCAAUGACUGAUACCCUGGCACCAAGCUAACAUAAAAUCAAAAUAUGCAAGCCUGGAUUUUUACUACUAGAUUUAAAAAAAAAAAAAAAAA